ensembl:lncRNA
UUGGAUUGAAGACAUAUCCCAUUAAAUUUGGUCAUUAUUGGGUGUUCUGUUGAGGGAUGUGGUCAUGUCCCAUUGGAUUUGGUCAACGUUGGGCAUCCCAUAGUUGGGCUGAAGACAUUUCCCAUUAAAUUUGGUCAUUACUGGGAGUCCUACUGUGGGUUGUGGUCAUGGCCCAUUGAGUUUGGUCAACGUUCGGUGUCCCUUGUGGUCACCCACAGCAGUGGGGCAGGCUUAGGGACCUGUGGGGUGGAUUUGGGGUGCUAUGGGGUAGGUUUGAGGAGCAAUGGGCAACGUUUUGGGGCUGCAGAGGGGAUUUGAGCAGCAGUGGGGCAGGACAAUUGUGCCCCAUAGCAUUCCUGCCCCACUGACAACGCCGCCCCAUAGAGCGCUGACUCCCCUAAUUCUUCCCCUCCUCCCCUUAGCGUCAUUUGCAUAACCACGCCCACACCGCGAACAUGUCCCGCCCCAACUCCGUUCGCCCCACCCCCUCCCCUCUCUGAUUGGCCGCCUCACUUCCUAUUUACAUUCUCCCCGCCCCUUCCGCCUCCUUUGCAACGCUCACCCACUGCCCACGCACUGCGCAUGCUCUCCUCCCUUCCCGCCCUUUUCCCCAGUGCGCGCAUGCGCGGUGCCGCGCACUCCCAGCAUGCCCCGCGGCCCUAUAAAAUCGCGCGGACCGCGCCGCUUCGGCCAUUUUGUGCGCGGCGCUGAGCGGGCGAUGAUCUCCGAGGUAUGAGGGACGGGCUGGGAUUUUACGCGUUUAUUUCUAUUUUUCUUCACGGGGACGGCUCCUAUUGGGGGGGGGGCCCGCCCUGAGAUGAGCCCACAGACCUGAACUGACCGCGGGGUGAAGGAAUAGUGGUAUUUCUGAGGGGCGCGGCCCCCCCCCCCCCCCGGGAUCACAGCCCCCGCUUCGGCCUUUUCCACAGGGAUUUCCCGCCCUUUCCAAAGCGAUUUUUCCCCUUUUCCCUCCGAUUCCAUCCCAUUUUUCCCCUUUUCAUCCUUUUUUUUUCCCCUUUCCCAAAGCGUUUUUCCUCUUCCUCGCCGUUUUUGCCGCCUCCCUAACCCUUUUCUUUCCUUUCUUUUCUCCCCUUCGUUUCUUUUCCCCUUCUUUUUUCUUUUGCUCCUUCCUUUUUUCCCUUUCUCCCCGUUAUUUUCUCUUUUUUUCUCUUUAUUUUUUCCUUUUUCUCAUUUUCUUCCUUAUUUUCCCUGCUUUUUCCCUAUUUUUCUCUCCCCUUUUUCGUCCUUUCUAUUUUUUCUCCCCCCACUUUGUUUUCCUCCAUUCCCCCCUCUUUUCCUUCAUCCCUUUUUCUUUAUUUUUUUUAUCUCCCAUCCUUUUUCUCCUCUAUUCCCCCCCCCCCCUUCUUUUUUCUCUUUUUUCUCCUUUUUUUUCCCCCAUUUUCCCUCAAUUUUUCUCCUUUUCCCCAAAGGUUCUCAUCCCCACCAUGGUUCCUUUCCACGAGGUGCGGGAUGGCUGCAGACGCCCAGAGUGUUCCUCCGCCCCAACAUCGCCGUCCUCUCCUGCAGGUGCGUGUGUGUGACCCCAAAGCCACCGCGUCCGUCUGUCCCCUCCCCCUUGGCGCUGUGUCCCCAGUGUCCCUCUGUCCCCUAACCCUGUGGCACUGUGACCUGAAUGUCCCCCUCUCCCCCUGUGUCCCCAGUGUCCCUCUGUCCCCCCGCCCCAUGGCAUGGUGUCCUUCUGUCCAUCCCCCCAGCAUUGUGUCCCCCUGUCCACCCACCCCAUGGCACAGUGUCCCCCUGUCCCCCAACCCCAUG